UCCUGCCGGAGGCUAUUGCUAUCGGGAUCCGAUUCAGUCAUGCUAGUCGCACGGGCUCAGACCCGUGGCGAAUAGCUCCGUAACACGUGGUCAAACUACCCUCUGGACUGGGAUACCCUCGGGAAACUGAGGCUAAUCCCGGAUACAGCUUUCAUGUUGGAAUACGGAAAGCCGGAAACGGUCCGCCGCCGGAGGACGUGACUGCGGCCGAUUAGGUAGACGGUGGGGUAACGGCCCACCGUGCC
rnacentral:rRNA from 1 species